rnacentral:rRNA from 1 species
AGUGAACGCUGGCGGUAUGCCUUACACAUGCAAGUCGAACGGCAGCACAGUAAGUGCUUGCUCUUACGGGUGGCGAGUGGCGGACGGAUUAGGAAUACAUCGGUAUCUACUUUUUCGUUAGGGCUGCGGUAGGGGAACUUACACUACUACCGCUUACCACCUACGGGUGAAAGCAGUGGAUCUUCGGACCUUGCGGGAUUGAAUGAGCCGAUGUCGGAUUAGCUAGUUGGCGGGGUAAAGGCCCACCAAGGCGACGAUCCGUAGCUGGUCUGAGAGGAUGAUCAGCCACACUGGAACUGAGACACGGUCCAGACUCCUACGGGAGGCAGCAGUGGGGAAUAUUGGACAAUGGGCGCAAGCCUGAUCCAGCCAUACCGCGUGGGUGAAGAAGGCCUUCGGGUUGUAAAGCCCUUUUGUUGGGAAAGAAAAGCAGCAGGUUAAUACCCCGCUGUUAUGACGGUACCCAAAGAAUAAGCACCGGCUAACUUCGUG